rnacentral:ncRNA from 1 species
GCACGCCUGUCGGGACCCGAAAGAUGGUGAACUAUGCCUGAGCGGGGCGAAGCCAGAGGAAACUCUGGUGGAGGCUCGAAGCGAUACUGACGUGCAAAUCGUUCGUCUGACUUGGGCCUAGGGGCGAAAGACUAAUCGAACCAUCUAGUAGCUGGUUCCCUCCGAAGUUUCCCUCAGGAUAGCUGGAGCCCAUUACGAGUUCUAUCAGGUAAAGCCAAUGAUUAGAGGCAUUGGGGACGCAACGUCCUCGACCU